AUUGAACGCUGGCGGCAGGCCUAACACAUGCAAGUCGAGCGAGCGGCGGACGGGUGAGUAAUGUAUGGGGACUGCCCGAUGGAGGGGGAUAACUACUGGAAACGGUGGCUAAUACCGCAUACUAUCGGAUAACCCAUAUGGGAUUAGCUAGUAGGUGGGGUAAAGGCUCACCUAGGCGACGAUCCCUCGCUGGUCUCAGAGGAUGAUAAGUCGAACUGAGACUAAUACACGGCCCAGACUCCUACGGAGGCAGCAGUGGGGAAUAUUGUACAAUGGGCGCAAGCCUGAUGCAGCCAUGCCGCGUGUAUGAAGAAGGCCUUAGGGGUGUAAAGUACUUUCAGCGGGUAGGCGUUACCCGCAGAAGAAGCACAGGCUAACUCCGUGCCAGCAGCCGCGGUAAUUC
rnacentral:rRNA from 1 species